AAGGUGAGGAGGCUGUUGACCAGCAGAGUGGACAUGUUACUGCCUUUGAAGGAGGACUGGUAACACUCAGCUGUAACUACACUACCAGUAGUCCAUCUCCUGAUCUCUUCUGGUACAUCCAGUUAACUAGGGACUCUCCUCAGUAUGUCCUGAGAAGAGAUCGUUAUUCAGGGGGGAGCAAUAGUGAUGAGUUCAAGAAGAGGUUUGAUUCCGGGCUGAAUUUCACAUCUAGCUCUGUCCCCUUGACCAUUCAGAGGUUGCAGCUGUCUGACUCUGCUUUGUACCUCUGUGCUCUGAGGUCCACUGUGACAACAAUAAAUUCAGUCACUGUACAACAACACAGGGUACAGUGUUGUUCAGACAAUGUCACAAGCUUCUCAAUGUUUGACGAUACACAGAAAGAGGAGGAGACAAGGAUUUCAUCAUCUCAUCAUUGCCUAGUUACAUCAGAGUGGUUUUACUCUUCUCCCACUGAUCUCACAGUAACAGGCAUGGAACCCUGGCUGAGGAAUGUACUGAUUCUUGCUGCAUUUUGUUAUGAAUGCAGAGGAGAAGACUCAGUCAUUCAGCCACCAGGAGAUGUGACUGCCACUGAGGGAGGACAGGUCACACUGGACUGUCAAUUUGAUGCAGUUAAUACUAAUAAUCUCUACCUGUUCUGGUACAAGCAUGAAUUACAUGGCUUCCCUAAGUUCAUGCUGGGACUUUUUUCUUUUAGAAGUACAAAUGCCACUGGAUAUGAGGAGAGAUUUUAUUCCCAUCUAGAUAAAGACUCAAAAUCUGUCCCUUUGACGAUCCAGAGGGCGCAGCUGUCUGACUCUGCUGUGUACUACUGUGCUCUGAAGCCCACUGUGACAACAGGAUAUACAGCCCCCCUACAAAUACUAGUGUAGCCUCUGGAGAUGGUGUGACUUCUGACAAGGAGGAGUACACCCCCACUGAGGGAUCAACAGUGUCUCUGAGCUGUACAUAUGAAACAAGCAGCAGUAACAUCUACCUUUACUGGUACCAACAAUACCCUAACCAGGCACCUCAGGACCUACUGUAUAAAAGUGCCAGAGCAAAUAGUGUUGACCAUAUCUCUAGUCAUCGGUAUGAAUCUACAACGUCCCAAACGUCAACUACACUCAUGAUAAAACAUGUAACUCUGGCAGACACAGCUCUCUACUAAUGUACCCUGAAGGACAUCCAGCGAUACAGAAUAUCUGAGAGGAUGUAAAAAAAACUAGAGCACGGAUAAAUGACUUGUUUUGGAUGAGCUUGUUGGUCACUU